rnacentral:rRNA from 1 species
UGGCGGCCGCGGGAUUCGAUUAGAGUUUGAUCAUGGCUCAGGACGAACGCUGGCGGCGUGCCUAAUACAUGCAAGUCGAGCGGACAGAAGGGAGCUUGCUCCCGGAUGUUAGCGGCGGACGGGUGAGUAACACGUGGGUAACCUGCCUGUAAGACUGGGAUAACUCCGGGAAACCGGAGCUAAUACCGGAUAGUUCCUUGAACCGCAUGGUUCAAGGAUGAAAGACGGUUUCGGCUGUCACUUACAGAUGGACCCGCGGCGCAUUAGCUAGUUGGUGGGGUAAUGGCUCACCAAGGCGACGAUGCGUAGCCGACCUGAGAGGGUGAUCGGCCACACUGGGACUGAGACACGGCCCAGACUCCUACGGGAGGCAGCAGUAGGGAAUCUUCCGCAAUGGACGAAAGUCUGACGGAGCAACGCCGCGUGAGUGAUGAAGGUUUUCGGAUCGUAAAGCUCUGUUGUUAGGGAAGAACAAGUGCGAGAGUAACUGCUCGCGCCUUGACGGUACCUAACCAGAAAGCCACGGCUAACUACGUGCCAGCAGCCGCGGUAAUACGUAGUGGCAAGCGUUGUCCGGAAUUAUUGGGCGUAAAGGGCUCGCAGGCGGUUUCUUAAGUCUGAUGUGAAAGCCCCCGGCUCAA